AAGAAGAGGUCAGAGAUGUAUUUAUAGAAACAUCUGAGACCCACUUCUCUAUCACUUGCACUCCUCUGUCUCUUUGAAGCUCUCCCAAAUUCCUGACCAAGAUGAAAUCAUGCAGCAAAUGGGGAGAAGUAGGGGAGGCAGAAACCAUUUUUCAAAGCGUCUCUGCUUUGAGCAGCCAGAUGGAAGAGAGGAAAGUUGUGGCCAUCGUUUACCUGCUGAGAUUGGGAGGACGCUGUUGAUGAAAGUCGGCUGAGACACGAUAGACAGGAAGAAAAGCUGAAGAUAAAUUCCCAAAGUCAUUGGAUUCAGGACAACCAUGCUGGCCAGGGUCUGGUGAGUGUCAAGUUAGAAAGGAGGCUGCUGCGGAGCCUUGCUUAUCUCUGCUUUUCUCUUCCUCACUGCUGUGUGUGUGUGUGUGUGUGUUUGUGUGUGUGUCUUUCCCUCUUUCUCUCUCUCUCCCUCCUCCUCACCCCCUCCCUUUCUCUCCCUCCCCCACCUCUCCUGUCCCCCAUGCCUUUACCAAGAAAGAAUGCCAACCAUUUCCCAUUAAACCGUCUCCAUACUACAUAGAGUUAUAUUUAUCUCAAGCACCAUAUCAAAUGCCCACAUUAAAAUUAAGAUGUCAAAAUUUUCUUUUUUGGAGACUGAGGUAAGUGGCUAGUGAAGAGGUGAUGAGAAGGCAGCCAAGUCUCAGAUGUUCACUGGAGGCCGUCCUCAAGGGCAGAGAGGUUCCUAAUUGGUUAUGCACCACCAUCUACCUGCUUGGAACUGGGCAGAAACAACUCUCCUGAUUCAAACCCAAUUUCAUGAAGAAAAACCCCUCCGCUGUCAGCCUGGGACAUUUUUACCCACUGUGUAACAAAUGUAAAGUUGACGUUUAAUUUUUUUCUUUAAUCAUCCAAUAAAAAGGAGGAAGGAAGUAGUUUA